UUUCUUUUUCUCUUCACUACGCCAAGAAAACCGUUCACCUCCAUAACUCCAUCUUAAUUCCGGUUCCAAUUCCGACGAUUCAAUCGUAGAGAAGGACGAUCGGCUAUGCUUGAUGGGAAGUUCCUGCUUGAUGUGAGGGCAGUCGCAAUUCUGAUGGGGAAGCUAAGAGAGGAGAGGACGGGGUCCACAGCAGAGAGUCGUUCAUCGUAGUCGGUCGUGGCGGCGUAGCGUUGAGCCACGAGAGUCUUCGAUUCAAGAAGAUAGCGAAGGAGUCAAGCGCAAUGGAAGACCUCGUAUCCUUUCUCGUGCUUGAACUGAACAAACUCCUUUUUACUCUUAACUUCUUUUCUAAUCCGUCGAAAUCCCCCAAGGUCUGAUAAAUCUUCUCACUCAAGUAAUUUUAAAUUAUGUUAAUGUGGCUUUUUGGAUUUAGUUUGAUGAAUUUCCUUUUGUUGUCUGUGUGGAUCAGAAGCAACAUGAAAUGGAUUGAAGACAGCGCUUACUACCAGAGCUUUGAAAAAAGAUCCAAACUUUUACACCCAUUGACUCGUACAAUUAGUUUUAGAAAGAUGGAGUGGUAUUCGUAUUAAGAGAGAUACUAGAAUAGGGAACAGAGGCAUCCCAUGUAACAAGAAAGUUUGCUUACAGAACAACAAAACCAGAGAUGCAUCUUUCUCUUUAUUUUGUUUUGUUUCAGGCCUCAAUGCGUGGGAAAAGCAGGGAGACGAAAGCAAACAUGAGGAUCAAAGAGGCUUUACCGGGUUGCGACGAGUGUGUUGUUACUAUAUAUUCAACUAGCGAGGAGACGAAUUGUAUUGGAGAUGAUGGAGAGUUUGUUUGUACAAGAGAACGUCAUCGAAAGAUUAUUCUCCAAUGGUUGAUGUCGAAGGUAACUCAGAUCUUUUACUGGAUAUUGACGUGAACAAUGAAACGGAAACAACAAAUUCUCAAAUCUCAAUGUUCUGCUCUCUCCCACACGUCCUUGUGGCCACAGAAGUCUAGUUGUUAAUGGGCCCCUUGAAAGCAUUUCUUCUGAUCUUGCUUUAGAUACAUUAGCUGAAGGUGGAACUCUGUGCAUAAGUAGUUUGGAGGGGAUGUGAUAGAGAAUGAUUUUGUGGGCAAUGGCAGUUUUCUUAUGCUUUUUAUUUGUAUUUUGAAUGUGUAAAAUUUAAUAUUUUGGUUUUUUAAAGUUUUACGAGAUUGA